AUGGCAGGUAUCCUCAGAGGUUGUGAGGCCUGUUGGAAACUAGGCAAGUGGAAUUUAUAUAUCUGUGGAAUAUUCAGCUUGAAACUGCAAGGUUCUUCAAUGUUAAUCAAUGUACCUAAUUACACCAUUCAUACGUCCUAUACCGACACUAUUAAUUCCUAUUCAACCUGGCCAACCAACAAUACCACAAGGUACAAAGCAGCCAGGCUUCCAACCAGCAAGGCUCUUCACUGCUGUUCAACCAGACCAACCAACAAUUUCCCUACAUAAAACCCCCCAUCCUUUCAACCCAUGAACCUAUUCCAUCCCAUUCAACCUUGCCUAACAAGGAUGCCCUAUAUACAAAACAACCACCCUUUAAAACAGCAAAGCUAUUCACGUCAAUUCCAAUUGCCCACAGCAAUGCGUGGCAGGCCACAGCUAGUUAAUAAUAAUCUUUUAUAAGUAUUUCCUGAAGGAGAGGAAGGGAAGGAGAAAAAAAAAGCUAAAAAUGUGAAAGCCCUCAAAUGCACGUGCAGGUGCACCUUGUCCACCAUCCCUCAGGCUCUCAACUUCCAGUCAAUCAUACUAAAUAAAAAGAAUCAGGAAAAUAAAGGAAAAUAAAAAAAUUCAACUGUAGGUUUAGUUCAACCGAAGGUACCGAAGGAAAUGGAACAAACAAAAUCCGCACACAAGUCUACUAUACAUUGUUGCUAACAGAUUUGUGUAAAAAUCUAAAGCAACUAUUAGGUGGCAUUCAGAACCUUUAACUGUUUUUCAAAUUGUUCAUGACCCCCCAUUUUUUUCUUAUUGGGCUCCAUUUGAAGUCAGGACCCACAAUUUAAGAAGCAGUGCCCUAGAUGACAGGGUCAAUAUUCAAAAUGGUGUUGGCAGAUUGGAGAAUUGGGCCAACAUUAAUAAGAUAAAUAUGAGGUUCUGUAUUUAGGCAGGAAACCCAAAUAUAGGAUGGUUCAUGUGAAAACAAUCUACUGUGUUUCCCCGAUAAUAAGACAGUGUCUCAUAUUAAUUUUUGCUCCCAAAGAUGCUCUAGGUCUUAUUUUCAGGUGAUGUCUUAUUUUUCCAUGAAGAAGAAUUCACAUUUAUUGUUGAACAAAAAAAUGAACAUUUAUUAUAUACUGCACAGUAGUUGUCAUCACAAACCAGCAUAACCAAACAAACUGUGAAUCCUAUCAAGAAUUUCUUGUUACUACCAAUAUUUCCAUGUACUACACUCUAUGGUACGUACAUUUACCGAUCCUGCAUGCUCUGGCGUUCUGUUCAACGGACAUGCUUCCAAACAAAAACUUUGCUACGUCUUACUUUCGGGGGAGGCCUUAUAUUUAGGAAUUCAGCAAAACCUCUACUAGGUCUUAUUUUCUGGGGAUGUCUUAUUUUAGGGGAAACAGGGUAGGAGUCUCAGAGGAACUCAAGCUAGACAUGAAUAAAAAAAACCCAUCAUAGUCUUGGCUGCACCAACAGGAGCACAGUAUUCAGAUUGUUGUGUUUUAUUCUGGUUUGGGUCAGUUCUCACUUGGAAUACUGUGCCCACUUCUGGGCACCACAACUGUAGAAAGAUAUUGACCAAAUGAAACAUGUCCAGAGAAAGUCAGCAAAUACAAUAAAAGGACUGGAAACCAAACCUAAUGAGGAACAACUUUUUUGGGUGGGUGGGUGGGGGAGCUUGAGGAAGAGAAGGUGACAUGGUAACCAUCUUAAAUUAUCUCAAGGGAUGUCAUGUAGAAGAUGAAGUGAACUUGUUCCUGCUAGAACACAAACCAACAAAGAGAUUCUUCCUUAACAUUAGGGAGAUCCUUUUUCAUCUGAAAGCUGUUGAAAAGUGGAAUGGGUUCUUGGUGCUUCAUUUCUGAAAGAUUUUCAACAGAGAUUGGAUGAGUAUCUUUCAGAUUUGUAUUAGUUGUAUAUUCAUGCAUUGUAGGAUUUAAGAUUACAUAGAUAGCCUUCUAGCUCUAAGAUUCUAUGAUUCUUUAGUAGGCCCAACAUUCAACUGUUAGUUUCAACUAAAGCAGUGGUUCCCUACCUGUGGUCCAUGGACCACCAGUGGUCCCCAAGAACUAAAAUAUGGUCCACAGCCUCAUUGUUACUACACUGUUGCAACGAGAGUGACUGGUCUCGUAAAACCCUCUUAUAGUGCCAAGGCAACAGGCUGACUACCCACUGGAGCCAUUCCAUGUGGCACCUGGAAGCGAGGGCGCUUUGGUGUCCUUGUUUUUAGGCCUGUUCCUGGGGUUAUUUGGGGUACUGAUUCAGAAAAUUGCAUUGGAUAGACCACAUCAGCUCUAGAUUAUUAAAUAUGGUUUUCUGUGGGUGAGCAGAUGGCAGCUACUGGAUGGCAUAUGUUCUGUAUCAGAAACUAGAGCUGAUGUGGUCUAUCCAAUGCAAUUUUAUGAAUCAGCACCCCAAUAACCAACCAAAUCUAAAGUUGACCAAAAACUUAUUUGUAACCGUUUUGGUACUAACGUUGAAGAAUGGUUCCUGUCAAAAAAUAAAAUAAAAUUGGGAACCACUGAACUAAAGAGAGCUUACAUAAGAGCUUAUAAGAAUACCAAAAUUGUAUUGAUUCAAUGUAUGUUGAACUCUAAGUUACUCUAUCAAACUCAUCGGACGGGAUGCUUUUCAGUGGCAUACUUUUGCGACAGAGCCCACCAGCUCCCAUCCCACAAUGUAGAGCUACUUCCAGUGGGGCUCUGUCACAAAAACGAACUGGCACAUCUUCCCAUGAUGUAUUGGAUCAGUGUGAGGAAGCCAGGCAGCUGACACUUCUCCCUGUGGGAUGGUGUCACAAGUAAGUGUCACAAGUUCCCCACACCCCGACAGGCACUGCCGGAUUUGCCACAAUGUGUUGCAAUUCCGGCGGCCCAUGUGAUGAGGUUGUAUGACUUACAAUUGAAUAUAGGACUAGUUGUGCUCUCCAGGCAUUGUGUGAACCAUGUCUCCACACACUUUAAAAACAUAAAAAUGAGGGACAAUGUAUAAAAAUUUGCAAAAUAAAUGCUGGAAAUGUGGAGAUCAAGAAGGUACGUUCUACCACAUGUGGUGGACGUGCAAAAAGGCUAACAAUUAUUGGAAAAUGGUUCAUGCAACAGUUCAAGAGAUUUUAAAAAUUAAAAUUCAACUGAGACCUGAAUAUUUCCUAUUGAGUAUGAUAGGGGAGGAAGAAAAAU
rnacentral:lncRNA from 1 species